CCUGUUUGAUCCUGCCAGUAGUCAUAAUUGCUUGUCUAAAGAUUAAGCCAUGCAUGUGUAAGUAUGAGAACUAAUUCAGACUGUGAAACUGCGAAUGGCUUCAUUAAAUCAGUUAUAGUUUGUUUUGAUGGUUAUCUACUACUCGGAAUAACCGUAGAUAAUUCUAGAGCUAAUACGUGCAACAAACCACGACUUCUGGAAGGGAUGCACAUUUAUGUAGAUAAAAAGGUCGACGCAGGAGCUCUUAUGCGACCUGUUGCUUUGAAUGAUUCAUGAUAACUCAGUCGAUCGCAACGCACCCUUGUGCCGGCGACGCAUCAUUCAAUUUCGCCCUAUCAACUUUCGAUGGUAGGAUAGUGGCUACCAUGGUGUUGGUGACGGGUGACGGAGGAAUUAGGCGUCGAUUCCGGAGAGAGGAGCCUGAGAAACGGCUACCACAUCCACAGGAUAGGCAGCAGGCGCGCGCAAAUUUACCCAAUCCCUAACACGGGGAGGUAGUGACAAUAAAUAACAAUACGGGCUCAUUGAGUCCUGGUAAUUGGAAUGUAGUACAAUCUAAAUCCCUUAACGAGGAUCCAUGGAGGGCAAGUCUCGGUUCCGCGCAGCCGCCGCGGUAAAGUCCAGCUCCUAAUAUUAGCGUAUAUAUUUAAGUUGUUGAGCAGUUUAAAAAGCUCGUAGUUGGACCUUGGGUUGGUCGAUCGAAUCCGCCUCUGGUGUGCACCGGUUGGCACGUCCCUUCUGCCGGCAUGCGCUCCUGGCCGUAUUGGCCGGGUCGAAGCUCACGCGCUGUUCACUUAUGAAGAAUGUAGAAGUGCUCAAAGCAAGCCUACCGCUCUGAUACAUUAGCAUGGAGGAUAAACACCACAGGAAUUCUAUCCAUUGUGUGGCCUAUCGGAUCAGGAGUAAUGAUUAACAAGGGACAGCGGGGGCAUUCGUAUUUCAUAGUCAGUAAAUAAGAAGGUAAAUCUGGCACCAUUAUGAGAAUCAAAGUCUUGGGUUCCGGGGGAGUAUGGUCGCAAGGCAGAAACUUUAAAGGAAUUGAACGGAAAGGGCACCACCAGGAGUGGAGCCUGCGGCUUAAUUUGACUCAACACGGGGAAACUUACCAGGUCCAGACAUAGUAAGGAUUGAUUGACAGACUGAGAGCUUCUUCUUGAUUCUAUGGUGGUGGUGCAUGGCAAUUCUUAGUUGGUGGAGCGAUUUGUCUGGUUAAUGUCCGUUAACGAACGAGACCUCAGCCUGCUAAUAGCUAUGUGGAGGUAACCCUCCACGGCCAGCUUCUUAGAGGGACUAUGGCCUGCUUAGGCCACGGAAGUUUGAGGCAAUAACAGGUCUGUGAAUGCCUUAGAUGUUAUGGGCGCACGCGCGCUACACUGAUGUAUAACAACGAGUCUAUAGCCUUGGCCGACAGGCCCCGGGUAAUCUUUUGAAAUUUCAUCGAUCGUGAUGGGGAUAGAUCAUUGCAAUUGUUGGUCUUAAACAGGAAUUCGCCUAGUAACGCGAGUCAUCAGCUCGCGUUGACUACGUCCCUGCCCUUUGUACACACCGCCCGUCGCUCCUACCGAUUGAAUGGUCCGGUGAAGUGUUCGGAUUGCGGCGACGUGGGCGGUUCGCUGCCCGCGACGUUGUGAGAAGUCCACUGAACCUUAUCAUUUAGAGGAGUCGUAACAAGGUUUCCGUAGGUGAACCUGCGGAAG
rnacentral:rRNA from 1 species